rnacentral:rRNA from 1 species
CAGCCGCCGCGGGAACACGGAGGGGGCUAGCGUUGUUCGGAAUUACUGGGCGUAAAGCGCACGUAGGCGGCUUUGUAAGUUAGAGGUGAAAGCCUGGGGCUCAACUCCAGAAUUGCCUUUAAGACUGCAUCGCUUGAACGUCGGAGAGGUGAGUGGAAUUCCGAGUGUAGAGGUGAAAUUCGUAGAUAUUCGGAAGAACACCAGUGGCGAAGGCGGCUCACUGGACGACUGUUGACGCUGAGGUGCGAGAGCGUGGGGAGCAAACAGGAUUAGAUACCCCAGUAGUCCCUGUCUCUUAUAC